UACGUAGGGGGCAAGCGUUGUCCGGAUUUAUUGGGCGUAAAGAGCGUGUAGGCGGCCUGAAAAGGUCAGCUGUGAAAACUCGAGGCUCAACCUCGAGACGUCGGUUGAAACCAUCUGGCUAGAGUCCGGAAGAGGAGUGUGGAAUUCCCGGUGUAGCGGUGAAAUUCGUAGAGAUCGGGAGGAACACCAGUGGCGAAGGCGACUAUCUGGCUGACAACUGACGC
rnacentral:rRNA from 1 species